rnacentral:rRNA from 1 species
GACGAACGCUGGCGGCGUGCCUAACACAUGCAAGUCGAGCGAAUGAAGUUCUUUCGGGAAUGGAUUUAGCGGCGGACGGGUGAGUAACACGUGGGCAACCUGCCUCAUAGAGGGGAAUAGCCUUCCGAAAGGGAGAUUAAUACCGCAUAAGAUUGUAGUACCGCAUGGUACAGCAAUUAAAGGAGCAAUCCGCUAUGAGAUGGGCCCGCGGCGCAUUAGCUAGUUGGUGAGGUAACGGCUCACCAAGGCGACGAUGCGUAGCCGACCUGAGAGGGUGAUCGGCACAUUGGGACUGAGACACGGCCCAGACUCCUACGGGAGGCAGCAGUGGGGAAUAUUGCACAAUGGGGGAAACCCUGAUGCAGCAACGCCGCGUGAGUGAUGACGGCCUUCGGGUUGUAAAGCUCUGUCUUCAGGGACGAUAAUGACGGUACCUGAGGAGGAAGCCACGGCUAACUACGUGCCAGCCGCCGCGGUAAGAC